GACGAACGCUGGCGGCGUGCUUAACACAUGCAAGUCGAACGGUAAGGCCCUUCGGGGUACACGAGUGGCGAACGGGUGAGUAACACGUGGGUGAUCUGCCCUGCACUUCGGGAUAAGCCGGGGAAACUGGGUCUAAUACCGGAUAGGACCCUGGGAUGCAUGUCCUGGGGUGGAAAGCUUUUGCGGUGUGGGAUGGGCCCGCGGCCUAUCAGCUUGUUGGUGGGGUGAUGGCCUACCGAGGCGACGACGGGUAGCCGGCCUGAGAGGGUGACCGGCCACACUGGGACUGAGAUACGGCCCAGACUCCUACGGGAGGCAGCAGUGGGGAAUAUUGCACAAUGGGCGCAAGCCUGAUGCAGCGACGCCGCGUGAGGGAUGACGGCCUUCGGGUUGUAAACCUAUUUCAGCACCGACGAAGCGCAAGUGACGGUAGGUGCAGAAGAAGGACCGGCCAACUACGUGCCAGCAGCCGCCGUAA
rnacentral:rRNA from 1 species